GAGGAAUUUUUGCGCAAUGGGGGAAACCCUGACGCAGCAACGCCGCGUGAGUGAUGAAGGCCUUCGGGUCGUAAAGCUCUGUCAAGUGGGAAGAACCUGUACUGUGUUAAUACCGCAGUACACUGACGGUACC
rnacentral:rRNA from 1 species